AGCAGCCGCGGUAAUUCCAGCUCCAAUAGCGUAUAUUAAAGUUGUUGCAGUUAAAAAGCUCGUAGUUGAAUUUCGGGAUUGACACAUCGGUCGUGCCUUAAGGGGUAUGAACUGGUGUAGUCAAUUUCUCACCUUCUGGAGAACCGCGAUGCCCUUAAUUGGGUGUCGCGGGGAACCAGGACCUUUACUUUGAAAAAAUUAGAGUGUUUAAAGCAGGCAUUUUGCUUGAAUACAUUAGCAUGGAAUAAUAAAAUAGGACGACAUGAUUCUAUUUUGUUGGUUUCUAGGAUCACCGUAAUGAUUAAUAGGGAUAGUUGGGGGCAUUAGUAUUCAAUUGUCAGAGGUGAAAUUCUUGGAUUUAUUGAAGACUAACUACUGCGAAAGCAUUUGCCAAGGAUGUUUUCAUUAAUCAAGAACGAAAGUUAGGGGAUCGAAGACGAUCAGAUACCGUCGUAGUCUUAACCAUAAACUAUGCCGACUAGGAAUCAGACGAUG
rnacentral:rRNA from 1 species